GACGAACGCUGGCGGCGUGCUUAACACAUGCAAGUCGAACGGAAAGGCCCUGCUUUUGUGGGGUGCUCGAGUGGCGAACGGGUGAGUAACACGUGAGUAACCUGCCCUUGACUUUGGGAUAACUUCAGGAAACUGGGGCUAAUACCGGAUAGGAGCUCCUGCUGCAUGGUGGGGGUUGGAAAGUUUCGGCGGUUGGGGAUGGACUCGCGGCUUAUCAGCUUGUUGGUGGGGUAGUGGCUUACCAAGGCUUUGACGGGUAGCCGGCCUGAGAGGGUGACCGGCCACAUUGGGACUGAGAUACGGCCCAGACUCCUACGGGAGGCAGCAGUGGGGAAUACUGCACAAUGGGCGGAAGCCUGAUGCAGCAACGCCGCGUGCGGGAUGACGGCCUUCGGGUUGUAAACCGCUUUCGCCUGUGACGAAGCGUGAGUGACGGUAAUGGGCAAAGAAGCACCGGCUAACUACGUGCCAGCAGCCGCGGUGAUACGUAGGGUGCGAGCGUUGUCCGGAUUUUAUGGGCGUAAGGGCUCGUAGGUGGUUGAUCGCGUCGGAAGUGUAAUCUUGGGGCUUAACCCUGAGCGUGCUUUCGAUACGGGUUGACUUGAGGAAGGUAGGGGAGAAUGGAAUUCCUGGUGGAGCGGUGGAAUGCGCAGAUAUCAGGAGGAACACCAGUGGCGAAGGCGGUUCUCUGGGCCUUUCCUGACGCUGAGGAGCGAAAGCGUGGGGAGCGAACAGGCUUAGAUACCCUGGUAGUCCACGCUGUAAACGGUGGGUACUAGGUGUGGGGUCCAUUCCACGGGUUCCGCGCCGUAGCUAACGCUUUAAGUACCCCGCCUGGGGAGUACGGCCGCAAGGCUAAAACUCAAAGGAAUUGACGGGGCCCCGCACAAGCGGCGGAGCAUGCGGAUUAAUUCGAUGCAACGCGUAGAACCUUACCUGGGUUUGACAUGGAUCGGGAGUGCUCAGAGAUGGGUGUGCCUCUUUUGGGGUCGGUUCACAGGUGGUGCAUGGCUGUCGUCAGCUCGUGUCGUGAGAUGUUGGGUUAAGUCCCGCAACGAGCGCAACCCUUGUUCACUGUUGCCAGCACGUUAUGGUGGGGACUCAGUGGAGACCGCCGGGGUCAACUCGGAGGAAGGUGGGGAUGACGUCAAGUCAUCAUGCCCCUUAUGUCCAGGGCUUCACGCAUGCUACAAUGGCUGGUACAGAGAGUGGCGAGCCUGUGAGGGUGAGCGAAUCUCGGAAAGCCGGUCUCAGUUCGGAUUGGGGUCUGCAACUCGACCUCAUGAAGUCGGAGUCGCUAGUAAUCGCAGAUCAGCAACGCUGCGGUGAAUACGUUCCCGGGGCU
rnacentral:rRNA from 1 species